UACGUAGGGGGCUAGCGUUGUCCGGAAUCAUUGGGCGUAAAGCGCGUGUAGGCGGUUCGGUAAGUCCGCUGUGAAAGUCGGGGGCUCAACCCUCGGAUGCCGGUGGAUACUGUCGGACUAGAGUACGGAAGAGGCGAGUGGAAUUCCUGGUGUAGCGGUGAAAUGCGCAGAUAUCAGGAGGAACACCAGUGGCGAAGGCGAGUCCCUGGACAACUCCUGACACUGAGGCACGAAAGCUAGGGGAGCAAACAGG
rnacentral:rRNA from 1 species